GAUGAAGAACGUAGCGAAAUGCGAUAAGUAAUGUGAAUUGCAGAAUUCAGUGAAUCAUCGAAUCUUUGAACGCACAUUGCGCCCGUCAGUAUUCUGGCGGGCAUGCCUGUUCGAGCGUCAUUACGCCCCUCAAGUCCCCUGUGGACUUGGUGUUGGGGAUCGGCGAGGCUGGUUUUCCAGCACAGCCGUCCCUUAAAUUAAUUGGCGGUCUCGCCGUGGCCCUCCUCUGCGCAGUAGUAAAACACUCGCAACAGGAGCCCGGCGCGGUCCACUGCCGUAAAACCCCCCAACUUUUUAUAGUUGACCUCGAAUCAGGUAGGACUACCCGCUGAACUUAAGCAUAUCAAUAAACGGAGGA
rnacentral:misc_RNA from 1 species